rnacentral:rRNA from 1 species
GAUGAACGCUGGCGGCGUGCCUAAUACAUGCAAGUCGAGCGAACGGACGAGAAGCUUGCUGCUCUGAUGUUAGCGGCGGACGGGUGAGUAACACGUGGAUAACCUACCUAUAAGACUGGGAUAACUUCGGGAAACCGGAGCUAAUACCGGAGAAUAUUUUGAACCGCAUGGUUCAAAAGUAAAAGACGGUCUUGCUGUCACUUAUAGAUGGAUCCGCGCUGCAUUAGCUAGUUGGUAAGGUAACGGCUUACCAAGGCAACGAUGCAUAGCCGCCCUGAGAGGGUGAUCGGCCACACUGGAACUGAGACACGGUCCAGACUCCUACGGGAGGCAGCAGUAGGGAAUCUUCCGCAAUGGGCGAAAGCCUGACGGAGCAACGCCGCGUGAGUGAUGAAGGUCUUCGGAUCGUAAAACUCUGUUAUUAGGGAAGAACAUAUGUGUAAGUACCUGUGCACAUCUUGACGGUACCUAAUCAGAAAGCCACGGCUAACUACGUG